CGCGAACAGUCGCCGGUCGUUGAUUUAUAAAUUUGCAAUGUUGCUGCUCCCGCCAAAGUGAAUAACAAGUGAUUUAGCCAACGGAACAUCGUUAAUUAACUUCUCUUCUGCAGCCGGAUAAUUUUUCGUUUCCUCUUGCCAGCUGCGAGCAGCGUUUUCGCAACGUGCUUUCCGGAAAAGUUUGCGCGGACGACAGUGUUCAAUUAACUUAUGUUUUUCGUUUUACGCUAGUUUCAAAUUGGAACUUUCAAUCCAUGUACAAAUUGUGCAAUGCGCGGGCAUUACUCGGUUUGUUUCUUAAAAAUAGGAAACCGAAUCAUUUUGUCUGUUUACGAAAGCUGAAAAUACGCUUCGUAAUGCAAUUAUUAACUCGGUUUCGAAUAAUUCCGAACUACUUUUCUCCCAAUCGUCGUGUUCUCAAAUUUUCAGAUUGAUUUGUUUAAUCGAGAAAUGUCAAACGAACAUUUAAAACAAUUUUCGUUUGUAAUUUUUAUCAAAUAUAACAAUUAUAAUAGCGUGUAAGAAUUUUAAUUAUUGCUACCAUUUGCAGUGUUUUUGUAGGUUGCUGUCUGCCAAUGUUUCAAUGUGAAAUUCAGUGUGUGCACAGUUCUUGCAGAAAGUCCGCAAUGCACGUUCCAUCGUGUAUCUUUAUGCAUGUAAAAAUGCAUAAAUUGCAUGAACUAUUCGCGAUGUAAUGAUAUUUAACUCGCCGAACUAUCGUUCUCGCUUCGAGCAACCGUUCAUUUGAGAGUUCGAAGUUGAGAAUGGAACGUCGGUUCUUCUCUCUGUUGCGUAUAAUCGACUGAAAAAUUUGAGUUCAAAGCGAUUUGUUCGCGCUUUAGUGUGACUCAAAAUUCGAUUCCAAGGAGUAAGGCUGUUCUCCUGGGUCCCGCGGCCUUCAUCCGUGUUUAAUGCCACAAAGAGGGAACUUUGUAGAAUAAUCAGCGUUCCUCGGGAAAAACUCGACAAGAAAUAUGUAGCACUUGAAACUGGUUGCCAAUCUUCAUUGGCACGUUCGACUUGGCAACUUUUUUCGAAUAAAGCCGCGCCUAAGAACGAUAAAAGCAGACCCAGGUGUAUCUGACAAAAACAGAACUGGAAAGUACGCAACGAUCGUUUGUCUCUUAUUUGCAAGGCAGAAACUAUGAACAAAAAACGGAGACAAAUGUGUGCAAUAUAAUCGUACAAAAUUGCAAUAAAAAUAUCUUCGUUGCAAUUCUAACUGAAGCUUAUAUUGUUAGAUAUUUUGUUCGCUCCAUAAAUUUUUCGAUUAAAAUUUGCGUUUUAAAAAA